CCUACGGGUGGCAGCAGUGAGGAAUAUUGGUCAAUGGCCGGAAGGCUGAACCAGCCAUGCCGCGUGAAGGGCAGGGACCUAUGGGCGUUAAACUUCUUUUGUGCGGGAGCAAUAAUGGUCACGUGUGGCCAGACGAGAGUACCGUACGAAUAAGCAGCGGCUAACUCCGUGCCAGCAGCCGCGGUAAUACGGGGGAUGCAAGCGUUAUCCGGAUUUAUUGGGUUUAAAGGGUGCGUAGGCUGUGAGGUAAGUCAGCGGGGAAAUGCCCCCGCUCAACGGGGUGAAGUGCCAUUGAUACUGCCUUGCUGGAAUGCGGAUGCCGUGGGAGGAAUGUGUGGUGUAGCGGUGAAAUGCAUAGAUAUCACACAGAACACCGAUUGCGAAGGCAUCUCACGAAUCCGCGAUUGACGCUGAUGCACGAAAGCGUGGGUAUCAAACAGGAUUAGAUACCCCUGUAGUC
rnacentral:rRNA from 1 species